rnacentral:rRNA from 1 species
AUACAGAGGGUGCGAGCGUUAAUCGGAAUUACUGGGCGUAAAGCGCGCGUAGGCGGCUUGGUCAGUCGGAUGUGAAAGCCCCGGGCUUAACCUGGGAACUGCCCUCAAUACUGCCAGUCUUGAGUUCGAGAGAGGUAAGUGGAAUUCCUAGUGUAGAGGUGAAAUUCGUAGAUAUUAGGAAGAACACCAGUGGCGAAGGCGGCUUACUGGCUCGAUACUGACGCUGAGGCGCGAAAGCGUGGGGAGCAAACAGGAUUAGAAACCCCGGUAGUCC